AUUGAACGCUGGCGGCAGGCCUAACACAUGCAAGUCGAGCGGAGCGGCGGACGGGUGAGUAAUGCCUAGGACUCUGCCUGGUAGUGGGGGAUAACGUCCGGAAACGGGCGCUAAUACCGCAUACUAUCAGAUGAGACUAGGUCUGAUUAGCUAGUUGGGGGGGUAAAGGACUACAAAGGCGACGAUCCAUACCUGGUUUGAGCGGAUGAUCAGUCACACUGGGACGGAGACACGGUACAGACUCCUACGGGAGGCAGCAGUGGGGAAUAUUGGACAAGGGGCGAAAGCCUGAUCCAGCCAUGCCGCGUGUGUGAAGAAGGUCUUCGGAGUGUAAAGCACUUUAAGUUGGGAGGCGUUACCAACAGAAUAAGCACCGGCUAACUUCGUGCCAGCCGCCGCGGUAAUAC
rnacentral:rRNA from 1 species